rnacentral:rRNA from 1 species
GUGAACCUUUACUAUAGCUUGACACUGAACACUGGUCCUUGAUGUGUAGGAUAGGUGGGAGGCUUUGAAGCGUGGACGCCAGUCUGCGUGGAGCCAACCUUGAAAUACCACCCUUUAAUGGCUGGUGUUCUAACGUGGACCCGUAAUCCGGGUUGCGGACAGUGUCUGGUGGGUAGUUUGACUGGGGCGGUCUCCUCCCAAAGAGUAACGGAGGAGCACGAAGGUUGGCUAAUCCUGGUCGG